rnacentral:lncRNA from 1 species
GCUGCCUGCUGUGCCUGUUGGAAAGGUGCCUCAGCUGCUGGUGCUGGGGUGGGAGAUGGGGGAUGUUUUACACAUGAGGUUACACAGGGUUUUCUUUUCCCUCUGUUUCUCACAGCACAUUGAAAUGCUACUUCCUGGAUUCGUCUCUGCAGCUUCCCUCCAUCCAAAGAGCCAUGUUUGAUGCCUGGUCAGCUUGAAAAAUGAUGCUUUUGUGCUAUAUGCUGAAACACAUGACGUAACUGAUGGCCAGGAUAAGAGUCAGAUGCUCAGCAAGGGUAAAUUGCCAUGGCUUCAGUCAAAUGAAAUGAGGUGCUAUCAAGAGGAAGCAGUGGAGCAUCAGGUCCCUCAGCUCAGACGAGGCUCUAAACCUCAGCCUGCCAGAGGCAGGCACUGGCAGUGAAAGGAGAAAGAGACUCUGUCCAAGGGAGAAGACUGCUGUCUUUGCUGGUUCUGUGGCUUACUGAAGAGGUAAAAGAAACAUGCUGGACUUUCCUGUCUGAGGAAAAAUUUGUUUCCCUUUCCAGAAUCUCAGGGAAAUAGAUAUUGUUGUUUCCUUCUUGCUGUGUUGUGCAUUGGUUUGGGAAGGCAGCCAGCAGCACAGAUCCAGGCUGUGACAUAUGCAUACACUCUGGCAUGGGCAAUGAACUCCUUUAAUAUGGAUUUAUUUUGCUCCUCCCCAGGACACAUCUCUUUGCCCACGCUGAUAUAAUACCACAGUGCCCAUAACAUCUAGCUCCUUGUCCUGGUUUAGGACAAAUUAGGGGAAAUCUCCAAGAGGGAGCCCCCCAGAACAAAACAAACCUCCAACCACCCCUCCCCCAACACCGGGUUCGGGAAGGAAUUUCUCGGAGGAGCAAAGUGGAAAACAAAACCUAUUUAUUUACAAGUAACAAAAGAACACUCCCCAACACAAGAAAAGAAAAGGGACCAGACUGUGUUGUGGAGGGCGCCGAAUCUUCUCUAGCAGGCUUCGGGUGUCCUGGA